GAGUUUGAUCCUGGCUCAGGAUGAACGCUGGCGGCGUGCCUAAUACAUGCAAGUCGAGCGCGUGAAAUUAAACAGAUCUCUUCGGAGUGACGUUUAAUGGAUCGAGCGGCGGAUGGGUGAGUAACACGUGGGCAACCUGCCUAUAAGACUGGGAUAACUUACGGAAACGUGAGCUAAUACCGGAUAAAACCUUUUGUCUCCUGAUAAGAGGAUAAAAGAUGGCGCAAGCUAUCACUUAUAGAUGGGCCCGCGGCGCAUUAGCUAGUUGGUGAGAUAAAAGCUCACCAAGGCAACGAUGCGUAGCCGACCUGAGAGGGUGAUCGGCCACACUGGGACUGAGACACGGCCCAGACUCCUACGGGAGGCAGCAGUAGGGAAUCUUCCGCAAUGGACGAAAGUCUGACGGAGCAACGCCGCGUGAACGAAGAAGGUCUUCGGAUCGUAAAGUUCUGUUGUUAGGGAAGAACACGUACCAUUCGAAUAGGGUGGUACCUUGACGGUACCUAACGAGAAAGCCCCGGCUAACUACGUGCCAGCAGCCGCGGUAAUACGUAGGGGGCAAGCGUUGUCCGGAAUUAUUGGGCGUAAAGCGCGCGCAGGCGGUUCUUUAAGUCUGAUGUGAAAUCUUGCGGCUCAACCGCAAGCGGUCAUUGGAAACUGGAGAACUUGAGGAUAGAAGAGGAGAGUGGAAUUCCACGUGUAGCGGUGAAAUGCGUAGAGAUGUGGAGGAACACCAGUGGCGAAGGCGACUCUCUGGUCUGUAACUGACGCUGAGGCGCGAAAGCGUGGGUAGCGAACAGGAUUAGAUACCCUGGUAGUCCACGCCGUAAACGAUGAGUGCUAGGUGUUAGGGGGUUUCCGCCCCUUAGUGCUGGCGUUAACGCAUUAAGCACUCCGCCUGGGGAGUACGGCCGCAAGGCUGAAA
rnacentral:rRNA from 1 species